CAGUGCCGCGGUAAGACGGAGGGUGCUAGCGUUGUUCGGAAUCACUGGGCGUAAAGGGCGCGUAGGCGGCCUGUUAAGUCGGAUGUGAAAGCCCGGGGCUCAACCCCGGAACUGCAUCCGAGACUGGCAGGCUUGAGACCGGGAGAGGAGGGUGGAAUAUCCAGUGUAGAGGUGAAAUUCGUAGAUAUUGGAUGGAACACCGGUGGCGAAAGCGGCUCUCUGGCCCGGAUCUGACGCUGAGGCGCGAAAGCGUGGGGAGCAAACAGGAUUAGAUACCCCAGUAGUCCCUGUCUCUAUACAC
rnacentral:rRNA from 1 species